CCUACGGGUGGCAGCAGUGGGGAAUAUUGGACAAUGGGGGGAACCCUGAUCCAGCCAUGCCGCGUGUGUGAAGAAGGCCCUCGGGUUGUAAAGCACUUUCAGUGAGGAAGAACGCCUGGUGGUUAAUACCCAUCAGGAAAGACAUCACUCACAGAAGAAGCACCGGCUAACUCCGUGCCAGCAGCCGCGGUAAUACGGAGGGUGCGAGCGUUAAUCGGAAUUACUGGGCGUAAAGCGCGUGUAGGUGGCUUGAUAAGCCGGUUGUGAAAGCCCCGGGCUCAACCUGGGAACGGCAUCCGGAACUGUCAAGCUAGAGUGCAGGAGAGGAAGGUAGAAUUCCCGGUGUAGCGGUGAAAUGCGUAGAGAUCGGGAGGAAUACCAGUGGCGAAGGCGGCCUUCUGGACUGACACUGACACUGAGGUGCGAAAGCGUGGGUAGCAAACAGGAUUAGAUACCCUUGUAGUC
rnacentral:rRNA from 1 species